rnacentral:rRNA from 1 species
GACGAACCGUGCGAACGUUGUUCGGAAUCACUGGGCUUAAAGGGCGCGUAGGCGGGCUGUCAAGUCUGGCGUGAAAUGCCGCGGCUCAACCGUGGAACUGCCUUAGAUACUGACGGCCUCGAGGGAGGUAGGGGCGUGCGGAACUGUAGGUGGAGCGGUGAAAUGCGUUGAUAUCUACAGGAACUCCGGUGGCGAAAGCGGCGCGCUGGACCUCUUCUGACGCUGAGGCGCGAAAGCUAGGGGAGCAAACGGG